CAAGAGUGGGCUCUGAGUGGAAGUGUGCAAUAUGGAUCUUCGGCAAUCAGUCUGCUAUUGGGACAGUCUGGAUCAAGAUGGGUUGAGUUGUGCCUCUCUGCCUUAGAAGGGAGACUGGUUUCUGUUUCAGAGAAAGAGAGAAGAGAGUGACUUCCGAUCAAUGCUCUUACUCAACGGGAUAUUCCAGAAGGCACUCACAGGGACUGUGAUUAUCUUCAAAGUGAAAAUAAACACUUGAGGAGAGAAUAGCAGAGUCUGAACUAAUUUUUUCACCAAUUUCAGCCAAAUACAGGAUCUGUCAAGAUGGGAAAUAGUAAGUCUGCAUGGAUUUUUUGGCAGUUUAACUCAGAGAAGAUCAAGAGGAUAUAGAAAUAUUUUUUCAUCUUUUUAAUCUUUACAUCAUCCUGUCCACAUAAAUGUCUGUAGCAGCUUAGGUUUGAUACAGCCUAGAAUCUGAUCCCAUUAACAGAGUCACAUAUGCCUUAAACCAACACAGUCCCAUUGAAUGCAGCUCAGCAUUGGAUUUUAAAAUCAAUAACUGUGAAUUUUGUUUAGAGGACUAAGAGUCAGUUUUUAAAGGCACUUAGAUACCUAACUCCCAUUGAAAUCAAUGGAAGAUAGGCAGUUUAAUACCUUUAAACGUCUAGCCGUAAACUGUUGGUGAAUCAAAGAGACAUAUCAAGCUAUGGAUAUUAGUGCAGAAAAUCAUAUAAUUUAAUGAAGAAAUGCUAUAAGCUUCACAAUUGACAGUGUGUUCUAAUGGUUGAUUGGGCUGGAACUUAUUUCUCAGGACAUAUGGAUCGUAAUAAAAAUCAGUUACAUUUUAUCAGGAUGCAGUUUAGAUAAAACAAUGUGCAAGUAUUUAAAGAGCUCUUUUUCUUUUCCAGAACCUCCCAAGGAAUUAAACAGUAAGUCUGCCUGGAAAUUUCAACAGAUUCACUCUCUCUCUCCUUCUCUCUCACUCACACACAAAGAAGGUGGGCAGUGCAAAUGUUAACUGUAUCUUCUGGAAUCCUUACAUCCUGCCCUCUGAAGUGUGUGGAAGCAGCUAGACUCUGAAGCAGCCUAAGGACCAAUCUUGCAAAAUCAUCCACACUCAGGCCCCAGUUCUCCGUUCUGGCUCACAGUGUGUCCUGGCCAUGGAUGGGAAGGGAGGAAAUGGUGAUGUAAAGCCAUCUUUGUAUUUCCUUGUAUUCUGGAUCCAGUCCCUGACACUGACAACAGCUCCCUCAGAACUGCUCUUACCUACAGUCAGUUUCCCAUAUUCCCAGGAAUAGCUGGAGUGCAGUCCCUUCCCCUCUUCCCCAUGACAUAGACCUUUACUUUGAACCAGGGCCAGCCUUAGAGGUGGGCGACGUGGGCCACUGUCCAGUGCACUGUGGUCAAGGGGGUGACAUGGUCAAGAGGCAAGGAGAAGGGUGGGACCGCAAGACCACAGAAGGAAGCUUGGAUCAAUGCUGUGGGGGGUAGGCAGUGGGGUUCGAGGGUGAUGGGGGAGUGGGGAGCCUGGGGAGAAAGUAGGGUGCAGGGAUGAUGGUGGGAGGAUGGGGUGGUAGCGGAGGCCACGUGUGAUGGAAAGUAGGUUGGGAGCCCAGAGAGGCAGCGUGCCCAGGGGAGAAGCAGACGUGGGAGGUAGUGGGAGCCAGUGGUGAUGGGGAGCUGAUGGACGCAGGGGAGGCCAGGUGUCAUGGGGGAUAGAUGGUGGGCCCAGGGAGGCAGCAGGUGUCAGGGGCAAAAAAAUGUAAGUUCUCCAACCUAGGAUGACAUUUUCCCUAUGGCCAGACUUUGUUAUUACACAUUUCAUUAUUUAGUACAUUUUGUAGCUGAUAAAAACAAUUACCAAAUUGAACUGUAAAAUUAAAUAAUAAAUUGUUAUUAUUAUUUGUGUUAUGGUUGGCCUAGGAGCCCCAGUCUUGAACCAGGACCCCACUGUGCCAGGCUCGGCACAACCACAGAACAGUCAAUCCCUGCCCCAGAGAGCUGACACUCUAAGUAGAAGGCAAGGGACAAGAGAGGGAUACAGACAGAUGAGGAGCACAAUGACACAAUGAGACAACACUGACAACAUGAUGAGCAAUGGUCACAGCUCACCCGCAGCCUGACAGUUGUCAAAAUUUUGUAGGAAAGAAAAAAUAUGUUUCCUAAGGCUAAUCAGGAUGCAGCCAGAUGAGCAAGAAAGUGUUUUUUCCUCUCCUGU